rnacentral:lncRNA from 1 species
GCUGCCUUUAGUGAUGGAGUUAUUACUGUAGCCGUUGGUUGUGCAUGGACUGUCCAGACAGGCACGCAGGGCAUCAUGUCAGGAGGCACAUAGUAUCAAUUUAUACCAUUACUGAAGGUGUUAACUUUGGUUGCUUGAUUAAGCAAUGAAAGAGAGUGCCUCACAGCCUUGCCAGCAGAAUGUGUUGCCAAGAUUUUUAAUUUUUUGCCAAUCCGACACAAGAGAAAUGGUGUCUCAGGACAUAUUGAAUUGAAUGCUAACAAUACUGACAUUGACAACAUGACCUGUAGCUAUUGGUGGAGAGAGCAUGGUGCCUGGCACAUAGGAGGCAAACCACGGAUGCUGACUCGUACUGCACGUGUGAUGUUCCUAUUGACAGAGGGUGGCUGAGAACUGCAAAGGGUUGCUGCAUGGAGGCAUUCGGGCCCUGAAAACACUAUGAUUCCAGGUUCGGGGAGUUCUUAUUAUAACUUCUAGAAUUGGAGGCCAGGAGAGCUGAGGCUAGUGUACUUGGUAAGGUGGCUCUGUGUUACUGUGGGAAGCUCCUUUCAGACAUGGUUCCCUGCUUUGUCCCAGUGGUGUAGUCAUGGUCCACAGUGAGACUCACAUCCAGCUUAGCUCCCAGGAAGAGUGCUAGUGUUCCAGGGCACCUCAGGAGGGCUUGCACACUCCAACGCCGCCAUUUU